rnacentral:rRNA from 1 species
GAUGAACGCUGGCGGCGUGCCUCAAACAUGCAAGUCGAGCGGGGCUAUGUAAUAUCGCAAGGUAGAACAUAGCCUAGCGGCGAACGGGUGAGUAACACGUGGGUAACCUGCCUGGAAGACAGGGAUAACGAUUCGAAAGGGUCGCUAAUACCUGAUAAUAUCCUUUCAUCGCAUGGUGAUAGGAAGAAAGGGGAAACCCGCUUUCAGAUGGGCCCGCGUCCCAUCAGCUAGUUGGUAAGGUAAAGGCUUACCAAGGCGACGACGGGUAGCCGGUCUGAGAGGAUGUACGGCCACACUGGGACUGAGAUACGGCCCAGACUCCUACGGGAGGCAGCAGCUAAGAAUAUUCCGCAAUGGACGGAAGUCUGACGGAGCGACGCCGCGUGGAUGAAGAAGGCCGAAAGGUUGUAAAGUUCUUUUGCUAGGGGAGAAUAAGUGAGGGAGGGAAUGCCCUCAUGAUGACAAGGACUAGCGAAUAAGCCCGGCCAACUACGUGCCAGC